rnacentral:rRNA from 1 species
GUCGAGCGGAACGAUCCUAGCUUGCUAGGAGGCGUCGAGCGGCGGACGGGUGAGUAACGCGUGAGAAUCUACCCAUGAGUGGGGGACAACCCGGGGAAACUCGGGCUAAUACCGCAUACGCCCUACGGGGUAAAGCAGGGGACCUUCGGGCCUUGCGCUGAUGGAUGAGCUCGCGUCGGGAUUAGCUUGUUGGUGAGGUAAAGGCUCACCAAGGCGACGAUCCGUAGCUGGUCUGAGAGGAUGAUCAGCCACACCGGGACUGAGACACGGCCCGGACUCCUACGGGAGGCAGCAGUGGGGAAUCUUGGACAAUGGGGGCAACCCUGAUCCAGCCAUGCCGCGUGUGUGAAGAAGGCCUUCGGGUUGUAAAGCACUUUCAGUAGGGAGGAAGGCUUACCCCUAAUACGGGUGAGUACUUGACGUUACCUACAGAAGAAGCACCGGCUAAUUUCGUGCCAGCAGCCGCGGUAAUACGAAAGGUGCAAGCGUUAAUCGGAAUUACUGGGCGUAAAGUGCGCGUAGGCGGUGUGUUAAGUCGGAUGUGAAAAGCCCAGGGCUCAACCUUGGAAUUGCAUCCGAUACUGGCACGCUAGAGUGCAGUAGAGGGAGGUGGAAUUUCCGGUGUAGCGGGUGAAAUGCGUAGAGAUCGGAAGGAACACCAGUGGCGAAGGCGGCCUCCUGGACUGACACUGACGCUGAGGUGCGAAAAGCGUGGGGAGCAAACAGGAUUAGAUACCCUGGUAGUCCACGCUGUAAACGAUGUCUACUAGCCGUCGGGGUCCUUAGUGACUUUGGUGGCGCANCUAACGCGAUAAA